rnacentral:rRNA from 1 species
GAUGAACGCUGGCGGCGUGCCUAAUACAUGCAAGUCGAGCGAAUGGAUUAAGAGCUUGCUCUUAUGAAGUUAGCGGCGGACGGGUGAGUAACACGUGGGUAACCUGCCCAUAAGACUGGGAUAACUCCGGGAAACCGGGGCUAAUACCGGAUAACAUUUUGAACCGCAUGGUUCGAAAUUGAAAGGCGGCUUCGGCUGUCACUUAUGGAUGGACCCGCGUCGCAUUAGCUAGUUGGUGAGGUAACGGCUCACCAAGGCAACGAUGGGUAGCCGACCUAGGAGGGUGAUCGGCCACACUGGGACUGAGACACGGCCGAGACUGCUACGGGAGGCAGCAGUAGGGAAUCUUCCGAAAUGGACGAAAGUCUGACGAAGCAACGCCGCGUGAGUGAUGAAGGCUUUCGGGUCGUAAAGCUCUGUUGUUAGGGAAGAACAAGGGCUAGUUGAAUAAGCUGGCACCUUGACGGUACCUAACCAGAAAGCCACGGCUAACUACGUGCCAGCCGCCGCGGUAA